rnacentral:sRNA from 1 species
CUCCAGUUUAUCCACAGAAUAGGCACCGCACAGAUACUGGCAGGGCAAGCUGCCCCCUCAUUGCCCCAUCAAUGUGCUUUUACUCUGUCCUGCAGGGACUCCUUUUAGGGCUAAAGGGG